GCAAGUCGUACGUGAAAGCUUUCGGGUGAGUAGAGUGGCGGACGGGUGAGUAACGCGUAGGAAUCUAACUAUUAGUGGGGGACAACCUGGUGAAAACCAGGCUAAUACCGCAUGUGCACUACGGGGUAAAGAGGGCUUCGGCUCUUGCUAGUAGAUGAGCCUGCGUCGGAUUAGCUAGUUGGUGGGGUAAGGGCCUACCAAGGCGACGAUCCGUAGCUGGUCUGAGAGGAUGAUC
rnacentral:rRNA from 1 species